GGACGUGGCCUCUCAUGACUUCUUUUUUUCUUGUCAUAUGUGCAUGUUUAUGUGUGUGUGCCCGUGUGUGUGUGUGUAUGUGUGUGUUUGUGUGUGUGUAUGCACAAGUUGGUAUGCACGUGGAUGUGUGUGCAUGUUUGUGUGCAUACAUAUUUCUCUGUAUACAUAUUUAUGUGUGUGUGCCUGUGCAUGUGUGUGUGCAUGUGUGCAUGUAUAUGUGUAUACACAUCUUUGUGCAUCUGAAUGUGUGUGGAUGUUUGUGUGUGUGCACAUUUAUGUACCUAUGUGCAUGUGUUUGUAUAUUUGUAUGCUUCUGUUAUUGUGAAUAUUCACAUGUGUGUGCAUGUUUGUAUGUGUAUAUGUUUAUGUGUGUGCACAUGUGUAUGUGCAUGUGUGUGCAUGUGCAUGUGUAUGGGCAUGUGCAUGUGUGUGUGCAUGUACAUGUGGGUAAAAGUGUAGAGGCCACACAUUGACACCGAGUGCCUGCUAUUGCUUUCUCCUUUUGUUUAAAUGUGAGUGUUCUGUCUGCAUGUACCCCUGCACACCAGAAACAGGCUUCAGAUCCCUUUAUAGAUGGUCAUGAGCCACAUGGUAUCGGGGCUGGGAAUUGAACUCAGGACCUCUGGAAGAACAGCCAGUGCUCUUAACCGCUGAGCCAUCUCUUGAAUCCCUCCAUACUUUUGAACUCGACAUUCAUGGACUGGGAAGACUUGAGUGGCCAGUGAGCUCUGGGGAGUCACCUGUUUCUGCUCCCCCAGCCCUACCGUUACAGAUGAACAUGGCUGCAGCUUAAAAAGAAAAUCAUCAUCAUCAUCAUCAUCAUCAUCAUCAUCAUCAUCAUCACUACCAGUGUGCCUGCUGGCAAUCUAAACUCAGGUCCUCACUCUUUGUAUGACAGACACUUUCUAUCCAGCCCACUUCUGAUUAUAUUUGAAGGAGUAUUUUAGUGCAAGGAAAAUGUAUCCCCCCAGCAGAUGGUUACUUUUUACUUUUUUUUUUUUUUCUCUUUUCGGAGCUGGGGGCGGAACCCAGGGCCUUGCGCUUGCUAGGCAAGCCCUCUACCACUGAGCUAAAUCCCCAACUCUGGUUACUUUCUUUUUAAAAAGGUUUGUUGAUGGUUACUUUCUCUUUAAAAAGGUUUGCAUGCUUCUACUCCCAGCAUUUGGGGAGGUUGGGGGAGGCAGGCAGAUCUCUGUGAGUUCGAGGCCAGCCUGGUCUACAGAGUGAGUUCCAGAGCAGUCAGGGCUACACAGAGAAACCCUGUCUCAGCUCCGCUCCCCACCCCCAAACAAAAAACAAAAAAGAACAGAAAAGAUUUAGUGCAUGAGUGUGUGUGUGUGUGUGUGUGUAUUUGUGUACGCUCGCACAUGCACACACACUCAUGCACAUACACAGGUACCCAAAGAGCACAGGAGGAGGUGUCAGAUCCCGUGGAGCUGGAGUUCCAGGCCUCUGUGACUCACACUGGUAGUUGACGCAGUCAUGGGUAUUGGGAUCAGAACGUUAGUCGACAGCCAGGGCCCUAAACACUCUUAACCCGUCUCUGCGGCCGCCAUUCCUGAUAGGUUUAGAAUGUCAACUUGCAAACUUAAUAAAGAUGGGAGGAGGAAAGAAGGAAGGGAACGGCCGGGCUCACUUGGGCUUCUGGGUCCUAUAGUGAUGAAGCAUCAGGUUUAACAUCACUUUAAUUAUAAUUUUAUGGAGCAAGAAUAUUAACUUUAAUAUAUUUAAUGCUGGGCACUAAUAAAAUAUUAAUUAGGAGAGAGGGAUGGCUAUAAAGUAGCAUGAAUGGGAAGGGUUCUCCAACAUUAUGGGGUAAAAUGAAGGAUUCUGAUUUAGGUUCACUCACGAGGAACCUAAAAUUUAAAAUAGGAGUCAGGGGUGGUGGCACACAUCUAUAAUCCCGGCAUGUGAGAGGCAGAGGCAGGCAGAUCUCUCUGGGUUGGAGUCCAGCCUGGUCUAUAUAAUGAGUUCUAGGACUGUCAGAGCAAUUAGUAAAUGCUAUCUUCAAAACAAAACAAAACACAAAAAGCAAACCAAGCCAACAACAACAACAAAAGCAAAACCUUAAAAAACUGACAUUCAAAAGUAUCGUGAAAGAGGGCCAGUUAUGCAAAUUGAAGAGGCGAGAGGAAUGGCCCAACUGUUAAGGGUGUAUCCUCCUCUUGCAGAGGAUCACAUUGGGUGGCUCAAACCUGCCUGCAACUCCAGCUCCAGGUCACUAGAUGCAGUCUGCUGGUGUCUGCAGGUUCUUGCACUUGUGUGCACAUGGACACACACACAAACACACAGAGAGAGACAGACACAUGCAUACACACACACACACACACACACACACACACACACAGACACAUGCAUACACUUAACUGUGCCUAUAGGUAGGUACAUGAAAAACAUUCUGAAAUUUAGCACAUGGUUUCAAAGACGUGUGAAAGAGAGUCGGCAGCACCUGAUUCCUUUGAAAAGCUGGUUAAAACAGCAAGCUCAACGAACCCUAGUGUUCUUUGCUUUCUCCAGGAAGUCGGUGGGCAUGUAUUUGGGAGAGGUGGGAAGAUAAAUUAUUGUAAAGAAUAAUUCUUUCCAGAAGCACUAGUCAUAGCAAAAGACCGGAAUAUAAAUCCAAGAAUAAAGAACUGAUUAAAUAUGGAUGAUAAAAUGAAUGCACAGAAAUUAAUGGGACCUGUGAUGAUUCAAUGAGAAAAAGGAUUCUCUUUGCUUGGGCACAAGAAGGAUUAGCUUCUUUUCAUCCAUGACAUAAUAAGUCAAUACAGGAUUUUUCCUGGAUCUUUCCGGGAAGAUGACAGUGACUUAAAUAUGUCACUACAUUGAAUUCUCUUGGUUUAACUAAUGUCCACAUCUGGGCAUAGGGACAAACUGGUUGGUUUGUUCUCUCAGAAGGAAAUAAAGAGGGCAUGGGAGUAUAUUUCAAACCGUUAUUCUACUAGAAGUUAAAACAAACUGAAUGUCGGUUAUGUAGCUCUAAGAGGAGCAGCAAAUUAGGACAAGUGUUGUGAGUGACUUGCAUCAAAGUACACUGUACUGUAUGCAUCUACGACGCCGUUGACGAAUUAGUCAAUUUUAAUAUACUUAAAAGAGGGCUGGAGAGAUAGGCGAGAAGCUAGGAGCACCAGCUGUUCUUGCAGAUGACGGUUUGAUUCCCAGCACCCAUGUGGUGUUUCUCUAUUGCCUGUAACUCCACUACUUUGGGAUCCAACACCCUCUUCUGGACUCUCCAGGUACCUUUAUGCAUGGGGUGCAUAUGAAAAUAGGAAGACACACAGUCAUACAUAAAGUAAUAAAUCUUUAAAAUGAAAGACAGCGAAGGUAAAAGUUUUUUUUUUUAAAGAUUUAUUCAUUUAUUAUAUAUAAGUACACUGUAGCUGUCUUCAGAUACACCAGAAGAGGGCAUCGGAUCUCUUUACAGAUGGUUGUGAGCCACCAUGUGGUUGCUGGGAAUUGAACUCAUUACCUCUGGAAGAGCAGUCUGGUGCUCUUAACUGCUGAGCCAUCUCUCCAGCCCCUGAAGCUCAGCUGGCCCCAGACUUGCUAUGUAGCUGAGAAGAACCUUGGGCUCCAGAUCUCCCUGCUUCUGCCUCUCCAGUGAUGAGUUUGAGACCUAAGCCGUCACGAGAGUCCAAACAGUUUAGUGAUCAAGUAACGCACUGUUGAAGUCUGAGUCCUGUACCAUACAGUUAAUUGAUUAAAAUUAUACGGUGGACGUGGUUUUAGUGUGUCUACAAAGGUAGACCACGACUGUUA